AAAAUAUUUAACUCACAAUUACUGGAUUGGAAAUUAUUCUUUCAGGUAGGGCUUUGGGAAUGAGGGAAUAUGCUUUCAUUUUCUUUUUUGCGCUUCCACUGAUGAGACAAAACUGCUGCCUGAUUUUUACCCCCAGCUAUUUGAAAAUUUUCAAACCCAUUGAAUCCUCAAAGAAUGGCAAAGAAAUGUUGAAUGAAUAUUUGUAUAUCUUUCACUUAUAUUCUCCAGUUGUUGACAUUUUGCCAUAUUUGGUCUCUCCUAUUUCCAUCUCUCUUUAUUAAACCAUUUGAAAAUUAGUAGCAGAUUUUAUUAUACUUUUGCCUUAAGUAUUUAGGCAUGUAUCUCCUAAAAACAAGGGCAUUUCCCUGUAUAAACACUGUAUCACUAGCAUGUCCCCAAGAGUUAUCAUAAAUAUAAUAGCUAAUAUUGAGACCAUAUUCAAAUCUCCCCUGAUUGUCCCCAGAAAAGUGCUUCAUGGUGGACUUUUCCCCUAAUACAGGAUCCAGUGAAAAACAUGUAUUGUAAUUGGUUGUCAUGUCUCUUUAUUCUCUUUAGUUUUUUUUAGCCUCUCUAAAAAUGUCCCUCUACCCUUUUUGUUGUUGUUCUUGAGACAUUUUUCAAAGCCUAGGUUAGAUGUCUUUUAGAAAGUCUUGCAAUCUAGAUUUGUCUAAUUGUUUCCUCAUGUUUAGAUUCAGAAUAAAUAUAUUUGGCAAGAAAGCUACAUAGGCAAUGUUGUGUACUUCCUGUUGCAUCAGGUCAGAAGGUACCUGUUAACUUGUUCUGUAAUUUAUUAGUGCUUGAUUUUUUUUUCAUUGGAAAAUAGAACUAAUAAUCAUGCUUGUCAUUCAGGAGGUUUGGGGAGAAAAAUUAGUGUCUUCAGUGCUCUGAGGUUCUUGAAAAUAUACCAUGCAAAUCCCACUAAAAAAGAAUUUUUGGUCCUUAGAGGAGGGAUAUCCAUGUAUCUUGAGGUAAAGCUGUUCUACAACCAUCUUAGAUGAAAACAUCUGCUUUUAAAGAUUUGCAGAGUAGUAAUAGUGUACUCUUUUUUAUUUAUAGAUGAGUCGUUCAUUUAGUUAAAUAACUUUUGCUUGCUAGGGUAAAGGAGAUAGUAAAUUAUUUCUUACUUUUUCUCAUUGCUUCUUCCUUUCCCACUAUCUUGAUAGCAGUUUAAUCAGAGGAGUUAUGGGCUUGGCAAAAGGAAUAGAUUUUACUAAGUAUGUUUUCAUUACUUCUGGGAUACUCAAGAUAUUUUUCUCUCUGCUGCAUUGGAUUAGUAGGCCAUUUUUCCAAAAAUAAACCUGAUAAUGAUAGGAAUUUUGUAAUAAUUUCUAGGAAAACUUUCUGCACAUUUCUUUAGCCUUCUCUACAAAAUAUUUUGCCCAAAGGUCAAAACCUCUAGGCUGACAAUAGCAUGGAUUUCAUGGUUAUUCUACAAAAAGAAAUUGAGCACAGCUAGGUGCAACAUUCUCUGGCUCUGAGAUAUAGAAGGUCUCCCACUGAAAGGAGAGCUUAGUCUUGGAGCUCAGUAAUGAUUCCAUAGCAACAGGAUGAGGGCUUUGUUUCAACUUUUGGAUGGUUGGCUGGUCUCCUGGGAGGGUGGACAUCAGGUGACCGUAUCAGGCAUCAUGUAUCUUUUUACUUAGCAGAUAUUGAUAAUUAGUCACGCAAAUGUGCAGAAGGCAGUAAAUGUGAGAAACUAUGAAGUGAAAUAGAUGGUAUUAUUAACUUCAUUUCCCAUAGGAUAUCUUUUGCAAAGGCUCUUUUUAGUGACUUGUUUGGUCAAAAACCAAAGGCAAAUAGAACAUAUGAAUUAAGGAGUUUAGAAUCUAUCCAUUCUUAGAGAAGUUAUUUGACUUUCCUAAAGAUCUCUCCACAGGUCAUGAGGAAGAGCCCCUGAGGCUUAGGCCCAGCCUUGGUCAUUGUCCAAGAGAGUAAGUGCUGCCAUGUUAAACGAAGCUAACUGGGCAGGCAGAAAGACAGCAAAGGAAAAUAAAGUGAACAAUAGUUUACUCACCAGGAGUUUUGCACUGCAGCCCACCAGCUUGUCUGCAACUAACUUGUAACUAGGUAGUGACAUUAGGCCAAUCACUUAACUUCUUCAUCUGUAAAAACUGUAGCAAAAGCUUAUUGCUAAUCAUGAGUCAGCUAUUCAACUAAGUACUUUAUCAACAUCCCCUUGGACCCUCAGAGCAUACCGUCUGCAAGAGACACUAUCAUCCUGUUUUGCCAAUGAAGAGCUGUAGAGAAAGGUUCAUUGCCCUGUCCAAGGUCACGUAGCAAGAAAGCAGUAGUAUUGAGACUUUUCUUUUUUUUCUUCAUCCGUAAACUGAGGUACCAUAUAUCUAAAUCUGUACUGUGCUAAGAUGGGAAGGGAACUGAAACACAUAAAGAAAUUUGGGCAGGGGAUAAAGGAGAGGAAGUAGAUGAUUUAGGGGUGGGAAGGAAAAGGGACCCUUUUAGGGAACAGGAAAGAGAAUAAUUGAGAUAAAUGGGAAGGGAAGGGAAAGAUUAAGGUGGAGGGAAACAAUUAUUAGUAUAUUAGUAUCUAGAUAGAAAGAACUACCCAGGAUAGAGGAGAAUGAGAUUUUAUAGCUUUUUAUGAGUCAUUCUUCGUUUCUUCCUCUCAUUCCCUCCAUCUAAUUAGUCACCAAAUCCUGAAGUUCUUUACUGUUUUCUCAUCAUCAUUCACAUUGGAGUUGCCUUUUGGUUGGCCCUCAUCAUCUCUCACCUGGCCCACAGCAGCCAUCCGUUUCUAGGCACACACUACUAAGUCCAACUCACUCAUAAUCACCAAAGGGAUUCCAGCAUGAUUCUGGUGUCAUUUUUCUGGCUUUAUUUUCUAGUACUUCACCACAUAUUCAAUAUGUACUGGACUUAAUGAACUACUUAUUGUCCCUAUAAUGGGCCAUGUUCUUUCACUUUAUUCUUUUAAACAUGUUUGUUCCUUUUCAUUUGCCUCUGGAAAACACCUACUUAUCCUUCAAUGCUCAGCUCAAAGAUCCUCUCAAGACAGUAUCCGGCUCUGCUCCUUUCAUCUGAAAUGACUCACAUAGUUUUCGCCCGUGAAAUCCAUAAAGUAAAUCAGCCACAAGGUGGCGGCAUAAUGCCAGGUAAUUAACGGUUCGAAGCAUGACACCUGUGGUUUCAGUUUAUAACCUAGCAUUGAUCUGAAAUUCCAUCUUAAAAAAAAAAAAGAUGAAAAGAUUGUGGAAUUAUUGAAUAACAAGGGACAAGCUCUGUAGCUCA
rnacentral:lncRNA from 10 species